ACCCAGUAGGUGAGUCCCAAAUAGGACGAAAUACGUAUCCUGGAU
rnacentral:hammerhead_ribozyme from 1 species